GUCAGCAAAAAAUUGUAAAUUACUCACAGUUUCCUCGGAAUUUUUGUAUUACGCCGUUGAGAUUAAGUGAAAGAUUUAAUUUCACUUAAUUAUACAAUUGAUUGGUAAUCAAUUAUUAUACAUAUGUACAUAUAUAUUUUCAUUAAAAAUUACUGCACAACUGGCACACUCAUCGGAUGUGUAAUAUCUGAUAAUAUUAGACUCUCGAUGGUCUAUAGGAAAUGUGAUAAUUGACACUCUGAUGUUUACCGCUAAUUAAUUUGGUAUUUUAAAAAUAGAGCCAGACUAAGAAACAAUAGUUGAAAAACGAGUUUCGAUUAAAUAUUCCGUGAGAGAGAGCACUAAAUAUAGAGUCACUAAAUUGUCACCGAAUUCGAAAUUUAGGGUCUAAAGAUAUAAAAAUUAUGAAUUAUGGUCCACUUCGCUUUUGUUGAUUUUUCUGAUCUAAACUUAUGCUAAUUUGGAGGCACACUCCAAUGCAUAUCUAUUUAUAUCAAAAGGUUAAAUUAAAGUUAUAUAUGCCAAAGAUAUUCGUAUCAAUAAAAUGUUGUAUAUUUCUGUUGAUUUUUCCAAUCUCCACAGCCUAGUAUAAAUUUUAAAGCGCAAUUGCAUAUAUUUUAGCUCUUCUUAAAUGUUGUGAUACUUCUUCUUCUUCUCGUUGUUCAGCCGGCGCCUGGCAACAAACGAAAUUUAAAAAGCGAAACCGAAAAACGAUCGAAAAUUGCAUAAGGGAGAAGACCUCAACUCACAUGCAUGCACUUACACACACACACACACAAACACAGAUGCAUUUGGUUCGUGAGUGUUUUUUUCAUGUUGUUUUCUGACUCGAUCCGGCAACGACAACGACAACAUCGCCCGCCAUGGCAACAAUAACAUUGUUAACUUUUAUAGCCGACGUUGACUACGACUUGUUGCACUCACACAUACACAAGCACACGCACACGCACUUGCAUACAUGCGUAGACGGCCAUGCCCAAAAGCAAGUUGAACGAGCCAAAGCGCAUUUAAAGAGACUGAGCUUAAGAGCGAAGAGAGACAGAGAGAGAGAGCGUUCAAGUUGCGUCUCUGAAGAGCGUACGCUGCUUAGGCCAACAACUUAUUGCUGCGUGCUCUUUGCAUUGUCUUUGGUCACGUCGUCCAGCAGCAACAACAACAGCAGCAGCAAGCCAUGGACCAAGUUUGAUAGGUCACGUAUGCGCAUAUGAUUAGUUGACCACUGAAAAAUCUUGUCCUGCUAUCGACUCACACACACACACACACAUACACACCACGCACUAAAUGUGGUGUAGUGUGCGUUAAUCUUCUUGUGGCAGCUAACCUUGGCCUAAAUGCUGGGCAUGACAGACAGUCGCUUGCUUGUUGACACAGACCACAAACCGAAACCAGCUUAGCCCACCAAACAUUUGCGAUGCAGCUUUAUGGCAGCUUAAAGCUCUGCUUAGCGAAGACAACAACCAUGCUGUUAAAGCACUGUUAAAAGUUGUAACAGUUGAGAUUUGAAUUUACAUUUAAAAAUUGGUUUUGUUUUUAUUGUUCACGUAAAUUAACUUAAAUUAACAAUAAUCAGCGGAAUAUGUACAACAUUGAAAUACUACGAAAAAAAGGAAUAUGCAUGCACUUCGAAACCGAUCACGUUCAAAUGAAACCACCUACAUCAUGUAUGAUUGUAAGUGUGUGAGAUUGUGUUUGUGUGUGUCUCCCCUUGUUGUGCAAAUGUGUGGGUGCAAGAAGUUGAAAACAUGUCUAAAAGGUCGAGUAUCUAAAUGGCAUGUGGUGAUGUUGUUGUUGUGAUUGUUCUGGCGAAUUGUUGCUUCAUCUGCGACGCAGAUGCAUCAUCGACUCCAGUGAACUGGGAUCCAAUGUGGCCGCAUGCUCCAAAUCCUCGCUGCUCGCAUUCUCCUCGGCGACAUUCACAAAGGUGCUCGAGAGCUCUCCAUUCAGCUUGUUGACGUUGCCCGUGGCAAUGUCGUACAUGAAGAUUUCCUGCUCGGCGGCAUCGCUGGAUCUGUAAAGUAGAACGAAGCUAUGUUAACUACUCUUAAUUUGAUAACAUUCGAAUGUUAAACUUACUUAGCCACCAACAGCACCACGGACUGCAGUUCGAUGUCGGUACGCGCCUCCUUCUCCAACCACCGCUUGAAGUUAUCCUUGGUGGGCUUCUUCACCAGCGUCUUGACCA